rnacentral:rRNA from 1 species
GAUGAACGCUCGCGGCAGGCCUAACACAUGCAAGUCGAGGGGUAGAAGGAGCUUGCUCCUUUGAGACCGGCGCACGGGUGCGUAACGCGUAUGCAAUCUACCUUGUACAGGGGAAUAGCCCAGAGAAAUUUGGAUUAAUGCCCCAUAGUAUAUAACCUUCGCAUGUUGGUUAUAUUAAAGUUCCAACGGUACAAGAUGAGCAUGCGUCCCAUUAGUUAGUUGGUAAGGUAACGGCUUACCAAGGCGAUGAUGGGUAGGGGUCCUGAGAGGGAGAUCCCCCACACUGGUACUGAGACACGGACCAGACUCCUACGGGAGGCAGCAGUGAGGAAUAUUGGUCAAUGGUCGCAAGACUGAACCAGCCAUGCCGCGUGCAGGAAGACGGUCCUAUGGAUUGUAAACUGCUUUUAUACAGGAAGAAACCCUCCCACGUGUGGGAGCUUGACGGUACUGUAGGAAUAAGGAUCGGCUAACUCCGUG